rnacentral:lncRNA from 1 species
CGGGUAUUCGAAAAAAAUGAAAUUUUUUUUUCUUCCCUAACCAAGGAUUGCACUCUAGUGCUAUCCGUGGGUGCCCUAACUAAGUACUUCACACGUGCAAUUCGUGUGAGACCGACCAAGGAAUGCACUCUAGUGCUAUCCGUGGGAGGCCCGGCCAAGCACUUCACGCGUGCAAUUCGUGUGAUACCGAUGAAGGAAUGCACUCUAGUGCUAUCCGUGGGAAGCCCGACCAAGCACUUCACGCGUGCAAUUCGUGUGACACCCGAUCAAGGAAUGCACUCUAGUGCUAUCCAUGGGUGGCCCGGCCAAGCACAUCACGCGUGCAAUUCGUGUGAUACCGAUCAAGGAAUGCACUCUAGUGCUAUCCGUGGGAGGCCCGACCAAGCACUUCACGCGUGCAAUUCGUGUGACACCCGAUCAAGGAAUGCACUCUAGUGCUAUGGAAUGCACUCUAGUGCUAUGGAAUGCACUCUAGUGCUAUCCGUGGGAGGCCCGACCAAGCACAUCACGCGUGCAAUUCGUGUGAUACCGAUCAAGGAAUGCACUCUAGUGCUAUGGAAUGCACUCUAGUGCUAUGGAAUGCACUCUAGUGCUAUCCGUGGGAGGCCCGACCAAGCACUUCACGCGAGCAAUUCGUGUGAGACCCGAUCAAGGAAUGCACUCUAGUGCUAUCCGUGGGAGGCCCGACCAAGCACUUCACGCUUGCAAUUCGUGUGAGACCGACCAAGGAAUGCACUCUAGAGCGAUCUGUUUGUGCAAUACGUGUGAGUCCCGACCAAGGAAUGCACUCUUGUGCGGUUUGUGGGAGGCCCGACCAAGCAUUUCAUGCGUGCAGUUCGUGUACCGACCAAAGAAUUGCAAUGAGAUGGGGUUUUUUCGGAUUUUGGCCUAUUUUAUGGAUGGGAAAUAAACGGUUUCUCUAUUUUAUGCGAACAUCCAAGAAAAGUUGUGCAGAGUAUUAGGGGGUAGUGGGUAUUCGAGAAAAAUGAAUUUUCGUUUUUUCAUCCCUAACCAAGGAAUGCACUCUAGUGCAAUCGAAGUGUGCCCUAACUAAGCAUUUCAUGCGUGCAAUUCGUGUGAGACCGACAGUGGAUUGCGCUC